UACGGGGGGGAGCAAGCGUUGUUCGGAUUUACUGGGCGUAAAGGGCGCGUAGGCGGUCAGCACAAGUCAAUUGUGAAAUCUCCGAGCUUAACUCGGAAAGUCAACUGAAACUGUGCGACUAGAGUGCGGAAGGGGCAACUGGAAUUCUUGGUGUAGCGGUGAAAUGCGUAGAUAUCAAGAGGAACACCUGCGGCGAAGGCGGUUCUCUGGGCCUUACCUGACGCUGAGGAGCGAAAGCGUGGGGAUCAAACAGG
rnacentral:rRNA from 1 species